CCGGCGAGUUGCGUUAGUCAGCAAGGUUAAGUCAGAAAAGACGGAGCCGUAGCGAAAGCGAGUCUGAAGAGGGCGAGCAGUUGGCUGACGCAGACCCGAAACCAAGUGACCUACCCAUGACCAGGUUGAAGGCGCGGUAAAACGCGCUGGAGGACCGAACCCACGUAAGUUGAAAAUUGCGGGGAUGAGUUGUGGGUAGCGGUGAAAUUCCAAACGAACUUGGAGAUAGCUGGUUCUCUCCGAAAUAGCUUUAGGGCUAG
rnacentral:rRNA from 1 species